AGGUUAAUGCUAAUCGUGAUAGGGGUUGUACCAUACAAGACGCCUAACAUGUUAGCAUUAGCUU